rnacentral:rRNA from 1 species
AUGCCCAGGGGACGUGGAUAACCUCGGGAAACUGAGGAUAAACCGCGAUAAGUCAUUACUUCUGGAAUGGGUAAUGACUGAAAUCUACAUGGCCCCUGGAUUGGACUGCGGCCGAUCAGGCUGUUGGUGAGGUAAUGGCCCACCAAACCUGUAACCGGUACGGGCUCUGAGAGGAGGAGCCCGGAGAUGGGCACUGAGACAAGGGCCCAGGCCCUAUGGGGCGCAGCAGGCGCGAAACCUCUGCAAUAGGCGAAAGCCUGACAGGGUUACUCUGAGUGAUUUCCGUUAAGGAGAUCUUUUGGCACCUCUAAAAAUGGUGCAGAAUAAGGGGUGGGCAAGUCUGGUGUCAGCCGCCGCGGUAAUACCAGCACCCCGAGUGGUCGGGACGUUUAUUGGGCCUAAAGCAUCCGUAGCCGGUUCUACAAGUCUUCCGUUAAAUCCACCUGCUUAACAGAUGGGCUGCGGAAGAUACUAUAGAGCUAGGAGGCGGGAGAGGCAAGCGGUACUCGAUGGGUAGGGGUAAAAUCCGUUGAUCCAUUGAAGACCACAGUGGCGAA